rnacentral:lncRNA from 1 species
UUUAAUUGAAUUUCAACCCAGCAUUAACCUAGAUAUUACAGUUCUUUAAUACAAGUUCUUACCUGAUAUAAAUUACAACACAAUUGUACUAAUAAUAAAAGUUAAAAUUAGUUUGGUGUCUGUUGGGUACUUCUAACUUGUACAUUCGUCAAUCGUUGCUUUUGGCUUAUUCCUCUGGUCUGGGCAAUUGCCCUCCUUUGCCCUUGGCUACACCCUUGCCCGCUACUUCACCGAUUAAUAGAUCAACAUAAAUACAUAGUCAUUAUCAUAUCCAUACAUACAUAGUGGAAUUGCAUUCAUUAUGAACUAUCAUCAUCAUUUACCAUGAUUUGACAAUUUGUUUGCAUCAUUAGGUAUGUAAUUACCAACGUAAUUUAUAUUAAUACAUAAAAUUUCUCAUACUUGAGUUAGGCUGUACCUUAAGAGAACCAUAAUUUACUGUCUAAAGAGAAGUAAUGAAAAAAGAGUAAUAAGUUUUGCAACUGUUAGAUCAGAGAAUGUUUUUUUUUCUUCCGAAAAUUAUAAGUCUAUAAUUUACGAGCAUGGAGAACUGUCUGGUGUCUAAAAUGACUACUUGUUCAGGAAUAAUAAUUACAAAAAUAUAACAUUUGAAUAAUGAGGAAGAACGGUUGACCGUACGGUGACAGUUAAGAUAUUUUCAUUUUUAUAAAGAGAACCUUUCUUUUCAGUUGAAUGUAUUUCUAAAAAUGUCAAGAAGAAGAAGAUGACUGAAAUCCUGUAACACCGUUGCAUCACUAAAGCUUAUAAUUUUUUUUUGGAGCAAACUAAAGCUUUUAAUUAUAUUUAAUUGAAUUUAAAGAUGUCUAUAUUGAAGAGAAAAUUUUCAGAUUUGCCCAUUGAUUGAAAGGGACAUAGUUCCAGGAUUUCAGGAAGGAAAAAAUACCAGGAAGUGAUGCCAUUGAGUUAAGUCUAGUUUGUGAGUCGUCCUGUCGGUAGUUGAACUGUGAAAGACGGAUAACAAAUAGAAAAAC